GGGGCAAUGGCGCAUCUGGGAGCGCGUCAGACUGAAGUCCAAACUUCGGCCAUAGGUCAUCCCUCGGGAUCCCUGUUAAUCUGAAGGUGGCCGGUUCAAGCCCGGCUUGCCCCA